rnacentral:tRNA from 1 species
GGACAGAUAGUUCAAACUCAAAACGUAACACUGAAAAUGUUAACAUGGCAUUCGCCUCUCUCCA